AGAGGGUGGUCGGCCACACUGGAACUGAGACACGGUCCAGUCCUACGGGAGGCAGCAGUAGGGGAAUUCUUCCGCAAUGGGCGAAAGCCUGACGGAGCAACGCCGGUGAGUGAUGAAGGGUUUCGGCUCGUAAAACUCUGUUAUUAGGGAAGAAAAACGUGUAAGUAACUGGGCACGUCUUGACGGUACCUAAUCAGAAAGCCACGGCUAACUACGUGCCAGCAGCCGCGGUAAUACGUAGGUGGCAAGCGUUAUCCGGAAUUAUUGGGCGUAAAGCGCGCGUAGGCGGUUUCUUAAGUCUGAUUUGUGAAAGCCCACGGCUCAACCGUGGAGGGUCAUUGGAAACUGGGAGACUUGGCGUGCAGAAGAGGAAAGUGGAAUUCCAUGUGUAGCGGUGAAAGCGCCGAGAUAUGGAGGAACACCAGUGGCGAAGGCGACUUUCUGGGUCUGUAACUGACGCUGAUGUGCGAAAGCGUGGGGAUCAAACNGGAUUAGAUUCCCUGGUAGUCCACGCCGUAAACGUGAGUGCUAAGUGUUAGGGGGUUUCCGCCCCUUAGUGCUGCAGCCAACGCAUUAAGCACUCCGCCGGGGAGUACGACCGCAAGGUUAAACUCAAAGGAAUUGACGGGGACCCGCCCAAGCGGUGGAGCAUGUGGUUUAAUUCGAAGCAACGCGAAGAACCUUACCAAAUCCU
rnacentral:rRNA from 1 species